rnacentral:rRNA from 1 species
UGGGGAAUUUUGGACAACGGGCGCAAGCUUGAUCCAGCCAUGCCGCGUGCGGGAAGAAGGCCUUCGGGUUGUAAACCGCUUUUGUCGGGGAAGAAAAGCCUUGGGUUAAUACCCUGGGGUGAUGACGGUACCCGAAGAAUAAGCACCGGCUAACUACGUGCCAGCAGCCGCGGUAAUACGUAGGGUGCAAGCGUUAAUCGGAAUUACUGGGCGUAAAGCGUGCGCAGGCGGUUAUGCAAGACAGAGGUGAAAUCCCCGGGCUCAACCUGGGAACUGCCUUUGUGACUGCAUAGCUAGAGUACGGUAGAGGGGGAUGGAAUUCCGCGUGUAGUAGUGAAAUGCGUAGAUAUGCGGAGGAACACCGAUGGCGAAGGCAAUCCCCUGGACCUGUACUGACGCUCAUGCACGAAAGCGUGGGGAGCAAACA